UACGUAAGGUCCGAGCGUUGUCCGGAAUCAUUGGGCGUAAAGGGUACGUAGGCGGAUAAGCAAGUUAGAAGUGAAAUCCUAUAGCUCAACUAUAGUAAGCCUUUAAAACUGCACAGCUUGAGGUAUGGAAGGGAAAGUGGAAUUCCUAGUGUAGCGGUGAAAUGCGCAGAUAUUAGGAGGAACACCGGUGGCGAAGGCGCCUUACUGGGCCUAAACUGACGCUGAGGGACGAAAGCGUGGGGAGCAAACGGG
rnacentral:rRNA from 1 species